CCUAGAUUGGCCCAGACAAUAGAAAAAGUUCAGUGUUGCUUUUAUUCUCAUUUCCAUGUAAGCUGUACAAAAAAAGGUACAAAGAUGGUCUUCAGGUCAAAAUGACCCGUGAGGCAAAUGGAGUUGAAAUCAAGGUCACAGAGUUAUUUACAAACCACAGAAUGUUACAAAGUUUUAGUUGUGUCUCAGAUCAAUCAGUAGCAGAAGUAAACAAGGCAAACCAGGUGGUGUUCUCGCAGACUUCAGAAGACCACCUGUUAUUUCAAGAGGUUAUAAAGGUGUAUACAGGUCCCGAGGUGAGGAUGCAGCUAGCUGUGGCAGAGGGACUGAGGGGUCACAAGGUGACAUGUGACAAUUUCUUCACCUCAUAUGAACUCGGACAGCAGCUCCUGAAGAGGAAGAUCACCAUGGUUGGUACAGUUCGAAAGAACAAGCCUGAGCUCCCACCUGCACUGCUUGGGUCAAAGGAGAGAGAGGUCUUCUCCUCAAAGUUUGCCUUCACACCCACCACCACUCUAGUUUCCUACCUCCCAAAGAAA